rnacentral:ncRNA from 1 species
CAAAGGCCUGGUCUUGGUCUUAUAAUCAACAAUUUCUUGACUUACACAUGCAAGUUUCAGCAUUCCAGUGAGAACACCCUUAUUGCCUUCAUAGGCUUAGGAGUUGGCAUCAGGCACAGAUUUCUUGCCCAUAACGCCUAGUCUUACCACACCCUCAAGGGUAUUCAGCAGUGAUAAAGAUUGAAAAUUAGCGUCAGCUUGAUUCAGUUAUAGAAAAUUAGGGCCGGCAAAUGCUGGUGCCAGCCGCCGCGGAUAUACCAAGAUGGCCCAAGUUGAUUACUUAACGGCGUUAAGCGUGGUUAGAGUUUUAAAAUUAGUAGAAUAAAACCAAUACGUGGCCGUGACAAGCCGCUAUAAGGGAAGAUCAAAGACGAAAGUAAUUCUAUUUAUGCUUGAACACACGACUACUAGGGAACAAACUGGGAUUAGGGACCCCAUUAUGCCUAGUCGUAAAACAUUAAUUUACACUAAUAAACGCCAGGGAAUUACGAGCUCAGCUUAAAACCCAAAAGACUUGACGGUGUCCAACCCCACUAAAGGAGCCUGUCCUAAAAUCGAUACUCCCCGCUCAACCUCACCAUUUUUUGCUUAAUCAGUUAGUAUACUUCCGUCGCCAGUUUACCACAUGAAUGAACCGUAGUGGGCUCAAUGACAUCUAGCCAAAACGUCAGGUCAAGGUGCAGCUGAAAAAAUGGGCUGAGAUGGGCUACAAUUUCUAUGUUAGAACAUAACGAAUUACUGCAUGAAAAAACAGUCAUGAAGGUGGAUCUAGUAGUAAAAAAGAGAAUAGCGUGCCUUUUUUAACACGGGCAAUGGGACGUGUACAAACCGCCCGUCACCCUCUUCAAAAAAUUUCAUAAUAGUUUAUAACACAACUUUAACCUUUAGAAGAGGCAAGUCGUAACACGGUAAGUGCAUUGGAAAAUGCACUUGGAUCAU